CCUCGGGAUGAUCCUAGCGGCGGACGGGUGAGUAACACGUGGGCAACCUGCCUCAUAGAGAGGAAUAGCCUUCCGAAAGGGAGAUUAAUACCUCAUAACGAUUGCAGUUUCGCAUGGAACAGCAAUUAAAGGAGCAAUCCACUAUGAGAUGGGCCCGCGGCGCAUUAGCUAGUUGGUGAGGUAACGGCUCACCAAGGCGACGAUGCGUAGCCGACCUGAGAGGGUGAUCGGCCACAUUGGGACUGAGACACGGCCCAGACUCCUACGGGAGGCAGCAGUGGGGAAUAUUGCACAAUGGGGGAAACCCUGAUGCAAGCAACGCCGCGUGAGUGAUGACGGCCUUCGGGUUGUAAAGCUCUGUCUUCAGGGACGAUAAUGACGGUACCUGAGGAGGAAGCCACGGCUAACUACGUGCCAGCCGCAGC
rnacentral:rRNA from 1 species